rnacentral:rRNA from 1 species
AUUGAACGCUGGCGGCAGGCCUAACACAUGCAAGUCGAACGCGUCGCGGACGGGUGUGUAAUGUCUGGGUAACUGCCCGAGGGGGGGGUAACAAUACUGGACACUGUAUAUUAUACCGUAAUCCAUCGUAAGCGCCCAGAUGGGAUUAGCUUGUAGGUGGGGUAACGGCUCACCUAGGCGACGAUCCCUAGCUGGUCUGAGAGGAUGACCAGCCACACUGGGACUGAGACACGGCCCAGACUCCUACGGGAGGCAGCAGUGGGGAAUAUUGCACAAUGGGCGCAAGCCUGAUGCAGCCAUGCCGCGUGUAUGAAGAAGGCCUUCGGGUUGUAAAGUACUUUCAGUGGGGAGGCGUUACCCACAGAAGAAGCACCGGCUAACUCCGUGCCAGCAGCCGCGGUAAUAC